GGGUGCGUAGUAUAAUGUUUAUUAUGGUCGGCUCCAGCCCGGCAGACGGGGGUUAGAUUCCCUCCGUACCCA
rnacentral:tRNA from 2 species